ensembl:lncRNA
AUGAGUCUCUAUUCUGUCAUUCUGCUUUCUGCCUUUGCAUAUGCAGCUUAUGGAAAUGAAAUCAAUCCAACCAAAACAGAGGUCUUUGCUGAUGAAGGUUCAAGUGUUACAUUAUCCUGCAGUUAUUCAUCUGCAUAUUAUCUUCACUGGUAUCGUCAGUAUCCUGGAUCAGCUCCUGGAUCAGCUCCUGAGUUCAUUGUGCUCAUCUCAGAUGGUUCAAAACAAACUAAGGAUUCCUAUGUAGAUUCUAGAUUCACAACCAAAGUCACUACAGUCAGUAAAGAAAAUCUUGUGGAUCUGGAGAUCUCCUCUGCAUCUAUAACAGACUCUGCUCUGUACUACUGCGCUCUGGAGCCCACAGUCACAGGAAACACAAGAAUGCUGUACAAAAACCUGACACAUACCCAACACCCAUAUCUGCUGUUUACACUAGAGAACACCCCUCGAUUCAACAAAAAACAGUAUACACGAAUUGUCAUUCACAGAAUAAAAAGAUAUAGGAUGACACACAAAGAUAAUUCAAGUAUUCAUAACGUUUUAUUAAAGCAACUAUGUUUAAAGAAGUGAUUAAAUCAUAUUUAGAUGCAUUUGCAUUUUGCCUGAUUGUGAAACAGGUGAGGUUUAUAUCUUAGGGGUAGUGUGUUGAACAGAGACUGAGUCAUACGAUAAUGAUACCCCUUUUAGUUAUUCUAAACAAAUGUCCAAGAGUAUAUCAGCGAGUAAAUAGCUCUAUAACAUAAAGAGGGAUAAAUAUAGUGGGGAUAAAGCAUUUGUUCAAAAAUCCUUCUUGAUAAAGAAUUUUUCAAGGUUUACAAAAUAAUAUCAGGUUAGCAAAUUCAAACUGAGCCUCAAAUCAUCCCAACAAACAAGCUCUUCAGUGAGCAUUUAACUAAUACAUUAGCAUACACAGUGAGGAUCUGACCUGAAUCUGAAAAUCAAAAUCGAAUUUAAAUCCAGGAGUAUUAACACUUUCAAACAUUCAUGUUAAUUUUAUUUGUUCAUUAAUAAUAAUUCAUGUUUGUGCUUUUCUUAAGGCAAGGAAAGAAAAGUUUAUUUAUAUAGCACAUUUUGUACACAAUGGUAAUUCAAAGUCCUUUACAUAAAAGAAAGUAAAAUAAUCAGGAAGAACAAAAAUAAAACAAGCAAUUUUAAAACUUUGGAAAUGAUUUAAAAUUUGACUUAUUUAAAAUGAAUUUAAAACAAGUAGAAAUAAAAAAAAAAUGAUUUUACCUAAAAUACAGUGAAUAUGUAAAAUACAGUGCAAUCAGUUCGGACAUCGCACAGUGCUUAUUCAACAAAUGCACAGCUAAACAGAUGGGUUUUGAGUCUAGAUUUAAAUGUGACUAGUGUUUUAGCACAUCUGAUCUCUUCUGGAAGCUGAUUCCAGCUGCGGGCGAUAAAUAAAUAAAGGAGGACUCCCCUUGUUUUGUGUGAACCCUUGGUAUUUCUAACUGACUCGAUCCUAAUGAUCUGAGUGCUCUGUUAGGUUUAUAUUCAGUGAACAUAUCUGGAUUGUAUUUUGGUCCUAGGUCAUUGAGUGACUUAUAGGCGAGUAAAAGUACUUUGAAAUCAAUCCUGAAUGUAACUGGAAGCCAGUGUAAGCACCUGAGGACUGGUGUGAUAUGCUUAGAUUUAUGUGUUAAAUAAAUAAAUAUAUACUCUAUUUAUAAUUCCUUGAAGAUAAAGCUUUCUUUUAAGAAAUGGCAGAACAAAAACAUGAGAAGCGGCAGACAGCAUCAUGACACAGAAAGCAGGAAGUUUGAGUGUGUUUGAGAGUGAAACUGCAGAGACUCACAGUAACACAGAUCUACAGCUCAGAGCACAGACAACAUUAACACACACCUGAUCUGACCUAGUCAACAUGGAAAAACACCUGCUUUUGAUUUUUAUUAUGACUUCAGGUAUAAUAUGACCUGAAAUCAUAAUUAAUAUUUUAUUAAUUACAGUAGUAGACACAUGUAAAUGGAAUAGUCUUGUUACUUGACUCACAAAUCAUUUUGUACAUUUGUUUUAGGUGUGAUGACUGCAGACCAGAUUAGACCGAAUCAAGAAAUUAGUGUCAUAAAGGAAGAUGAGACUGUGGCCCUCAGCUGCUCAUAUGAUUCUACCAUCAGUUAUGUUUACUGGUACAGACAGUAUCCUAAUGGAGAGCUUCAUUAUUUAAUAUACAAGCUUACAUGGUCAAGUAGUGGAGGUGGGAGCCCUGUGGAUUCUCGCUUUGAGUCGACUACAUCACGAACAUCCACUGAACUCACUAUUACUGGAGUAACUCUGUCAGAUUCAGCUCUCUAUUAUUGUGCUCUUAGAGUCAGAGCCCAGUGAUACAAAGUCUAUGUGAAGCCGUACAAAAACUCAAAUUCUUUUUCCUCUUUGAUGUCAAGCCAAAUCGAACCCACAAUCUAAAAUUAAC